AUACUUACCUGGCAGGGGAGACACUAUGACCAAGAAGGUGGUUCACCCAGAGCGAGGCUCAGCCAUUGUACGGCGACCGAGCUCACGUCUGCGAAUUCGGAAUUCCCCUAAUCUCGACUGCAUAAUUUAUGCUAGAGGGGGACUGUAUGGGACACCAU
rnacentral:snRNA from 1 species